UACGGGGGGGGGCAAGCGUUGUUCGGAAUUACUGGGCGUAAAGGGCUCGUAGGUGGCCAACUACGUCAGACGUGAAAUCCCUCAGCUUAACUGGGGAACUGCGUCUGAUACUGGAUGGCUUGAGUUUGGGAGAGGGAUGCGGAAUUCCAGGUGUAGCGGUGAAAUGCGUAGAGAUCGGGAGGAACAUCAGUUGCGAAGGCGGCUCUCUGGACCAGCACUGACACUGAGGCACGAAAGCGUGGGGAGCAAACAGG
rnacentral:rRNA from 1 species